AUGCAUAGGAAGGAACAGGAGAAACUAUCACAAGUAAAGGCUGUGGUAAAGGUGAGACCCAAGCAGGACAAACUUUUUUCGAAAAAGGGCGCCAAGCUGGACAAACUACUGCUAGUAAAGGGGAAAUCGAUCCCGAGUCGGCUUAAGAGCAAGAUUUUUCGUGGAAAAGGAAGGGGAAUAUGUCCAGAACAUGUGAAGCACCAGACACUUCGCAUAUCUGAAGUCAGAAGGCACUAUAAGCUUACUUAUGACGAGGCAAACCAUCUUCAUGCUUAUUCAGAAUGUAGACCGGUGAUUGGAGAUGGGGAGUGUUUCUACAGGAGCUUCAUAUUUUCAUACCUUGAGCAAGUUAUUGAUAGGCAGGACACACAUGAGGAACACCGUCUCCUUAGAAGAGUGUCUACACAACGUGCAAAUCUUCAAUGGGACUCUGAGUUUUCCCGGAGCAGAAGAGCAUUUAAGGAGCUGAUUGAGAACGUAAUGAAAUGGAAGAGCAGGGAAUCAACUAGCAGUCGCCGUAAAGAGAAACUUCUCAAGUUCUUCAGCACGUAUGAUACGACGCAAGACAUUUUUGUUUUCCUCAGAUUACUAGUAGCUAUCCAGAUAUGCUCGCACAGGGAGGUGUAUGAACCGAUUAUACAAGGGCCCGGAGGAAAUUACAGUCUGGAAGUUUGGUGCUUGCAGCACGUCAUUCCAGCUCGUGUGUACGCGGACCAUGUUAUGAUGGUGGCUUUGGCCAGAGCGCUUGAGGUCCCCCUCAGAGUGGAAUCACUCCAACGAGGAUAUGCUCCAGAUAUCUACACUGGUCCUGGAGUUCCCCGUCCAAGCGUGACCCUGCUGUACACGGGUGAUCACUACGACAUCAUCUACCCACGUGCUCCUUCUGCUGAGAGUUCAAGUCAUCGGGCUUCCCAGGGAGAACAUCCUGGUGAUCAGAGUUCAAGUCAUCAGGCUUCCCAGAGAAAACAUCCUGGUGAUCAGAGUUCAAGUCAACGGACUUUCUAG
rnacentral:rRNA from 1 species